GACGAACGCUGGCGGCGUGCUUAACACAUGCAAGUCGAACGAAGUGUCGAACGGGUGAGUAAUACGUGGGUAACCUGCCCUCCUUUUUGGGAUAAGCCUUUGAAACGGGGUCUAAUACCCACUUAAGGGGGUUGGGCUCGGGGCUUAUCAGCUUGUUGGUGGGGUGAUGGCCUACCAAGGCGGUGACGGGUAGCCGGGCUGAGAGGGUGACCGGCAACAGUGGGACUGAGAUAAGGCCCAGAGUCCUACGGGGGGGGGAAGUGGGGACUAUUGCAGAAUGGGCGAAAGACUGAUGCAGCGACGACGAGUGGGGGAUGAAGGCUUUAGGGUUGUAAACCUCGUUCGCUAGCGAACGGGUAGGUGGAGAAGAAGCGCCGGCUAACUACGUGCCAGCAGCCGCGGUAAUUC
rnacentral:rRNA from 1 species